rnacentral:lncRNA from 1 species
UUGAUAGACGCCAUGUUGGCAUGACUAACCGAGCCGGACUGGUGUAGAGUUUUGACCAUAUUUGGAUACGGAUUGCCAUAUUUGAAUAUCCUUGCUUGCUCUGAUUGGCUGAUUCAACAGUUCGAAUUUAGGCGGACUUUUCAUUCAGUUAUUGUAAUCGUUCUUUAUGGUAAAGCAUGGAUGGUUCAUGGAUAAUUGUGCUUCUAAAUAGCCUAAAAUCCCCUGAGAAAAACGGGGAACAACGAACUAAUAUGUGAUACUUCAUAACCUGAGGGUAAUCUGGUAUAGAUCAACGAAUUUUCAAGAGAUUUCGCUGAGGUCUAACCUCCUGAAAACCUAACUGAUGAUGAAGUGCUGUAUUUAUAAAUCGUUAGCACGAGAUGUCAAUAUUGCCUUGUAGUUUAUAGGAAAUUUGUUGUAAUUAAAGCUUAUUUAUAAAUUUCU